AUUCCACAUCACAUCUACAUGUUACACUUGUCAUAGUCAAGCUAGCUUAACUGAGCUACGUCCCUAUCCCUUGAUAUUUUUCUCUUUUAAUUAAACUUUUUCCUGAUCGUAUCUAGUUGUAGUUUUGACAAUUAUCAUCACAGCCAUCAUGUACACUAGAUCCCGCCCCAUCUCCCUGCAGGAAGGCAAAAAGCUGCUAGCUAAAGACGACUAGCAUUGGUUUUAGCCGUUAUCAAAAUAAUGCGCUAAAUCUUACGCCUGAUAUGUAAAAGGGAAAUGGAUGCAGUGCUCAUUCUGCAGGGGAUCCACAAAAAGAAGCAGCUAUCGUUUCAGGAUAAAGGUUGAACAAUAAGCAUUUAACGUAAGACACGUACAACUAGUUAGUGCUGACUACGAGUUCGUAAUUUCCUUCAUCCGUUUAAAAGGUGUUUAAAAGGACAGCGCGCCUUGAGGAGUCAACUCGCAGGACACCGUCUGCUCCAGUGCCGCCGAUGUUUUAAUUUAUUUCAUUUGCAAAAGCAGCAUCAUUCUGAAUAAUAUCCGAUAUCCAGGCUAAUUUCAGUAGGUCUUCAUCUGUUGAUUCUUAGGACUUCUCUGCACUGUCCAACAGUAAGUAGCGGUUCUUGCUAAAAAAAAUCCCUCAAUAUAUAUAUACACACAGAGUAAGUGUAAAACUGUUACUUAAGCAGGAAACUAACUAAUUUUUAUUGUUUUUCUUUUUGUCUUGCUGUAGAUUUAAUCUGUAAUGAGAGAGCUGAGGCGGCUGGACACCCAGUUCCAGCCAAUCAGACGUCUGCUGGACCGAACUGGCCAGCAGCUGCUGGUGGACAGACUGGGACCAGCGCUCCUCUAGGGACUUUCAGGUCGGUGGAAAAGAGGCAGAGAGCACGGACGCUGCACCGCAGACUGUCGUUAGUCGAUGGAUUAAUCUCAGAGUCUCUGCUGCUGUUGGAGAAAACUCCAGGAAGACGUUCAGUGCUCAGAAGAAACGCCGUCCGCCAUCAAACUAAGGCCACUCUGCUGCUUCAUGCGACUCAGAUUCUGUUCCACAGCGUCUCCUCUGACCUGAAGGUCAUUUCAAGGGAUUCGAGUGACUCUCCUUGCUAACUCUGACGUGUGGGAGACCAAGAGGGUAGAGUUGAUUCAGAUGAAAUGAGAAAUCUCUGAUGCUGCUCAGAUUAUUUUAGACCAACAGAACGGGCUCUUUGGGAAUCAACCUCCAGCUUCUCCUAAUAGUCAAGAAAAUGCAUUAAAUGAAAUCUAGACCAGGGAAUUACCUCAGGGAUUUAACUGAUGAGCUGGGAGGCACAACUCAGGAAUGUAUGGCAGCAGAACCAAGAAACUGCUGAACCAGCCAGAAAACAAAAGAAAGGUGAUCUGACGGCGUCAGAGCUGGAGCUCCUGAGCAACGCUCCAGCAAACGGGACGAAGACGGCUUCCUGUUACAAUACGCAGCAUUUCUUAAGCUUUUCUUUCCUGAUGGAUCAACUCUACCUUUUGGCUAUUAGGGUUUAAGAGAGAAGUGAAAGAAAAAAGUCUCAUUCCGGAGAUUCGCUUUGAUUUAGAUUGAAGAAACCUGUCUGAUGUCUGAUGGUGGGACCAAGUGGGUCUGGGAAAACUGUCAUUGUGUUUUACAGAAUGUAACCAUGAAUUGUGACGGAUGUUGUACCGGAUGACAUUGUUUGGAUUUAUACUCUUUUUCAACAUAUGUAUCCUGAAUUGUAGAAAAUGAAUAAAAAUAUAAAAUUUGUUGAA